UACGGGGGGGGCAAGCGUUGUUCGGAUUUAUUGGGCGUAAAGGGUGCGUAGGCGGUUUGGCAAGUCUGAUGUGAAAUCUAUGGGCUCAACCCAUAGUCUGCAUCAGAAACUGCCGGGCUUGAGUAUGGGAGAGGUGAGUGGAAUUUCCGGUGUAGCGGUGAAAUGCGUAGAUAUCGGAAGGAACACCCGUGGCGAAAGCGGCGCGCUGGACCACUACUGACGCUGAAGAACGAAAGCUAGGGGAGCAAACAGG
rnacentral:rRNA from 1 species